rnacentral:lncRNA from 1 species
AAAGAAAAUUAUUAUUUAAGCAUUUUAUAAUUUCUAAAGGAGUUUAGAAUAAAACUUGUUAGGUAUUUUUUGCCCCCAGGAGAUAGAACAGAACUGUGGCAGGCAUUGUAGAGAUGAGCCCACUGUAUGUACCUCCAAGAAGAGCAGCUGGCUUGAUCAUAGACAGGUCAGGGAAAAUAGCUGUGCCAGAAAAGAAUCAAUGGAGCGUGAACCACAGGCAAAGAAAAACAAUCCUAAUGAACUCUUCCCCCUCCUCCCCAGAGCCCUGGAGAAUGUAUUCAUUUCAUUUAUUUGGUGCAGAAAAUAUCCUGAUUCUGUAUCACGGUUGCAUAGAUUCUACAUAUGGAUUCUGUAGAAGUCUAUAGAGUUGGAAGGAAAUUCGGAAGUCAUGGAAGAGGAUAGAGUGAAUGACUAUGAGUGUAUAGAGGUAAUAUAAUAAUAAUAGCUAGUAUUAUAUAAGUUUGUAUAGUGCUUUACAAAUAUUAUCUCACUUGAUCCUCACAACACCCAUGGGAGGUAAAUGUUAUUAUUAUCUCCAUUUUACAGGUAAGGAAACUGAGGUUAAGUGACUUUCCCAGGGUGACACCUGGUAAACGUCUGAGGCAGGAUUUGAACUCAGGUCUACUUUGAUCUGUCUGGCUACCUAGGUAUACAUACAUUGACACUUAUUUCUACUUCUCAUCUAGUACAGAAGCAUUUAAGUGCUUUUAUUGGGAGAACAACAUAUUGUCUGCGAUGACUUCCCAAAUUCUGGCUUUGAACGAAACCUCUACUUAAUUUGAGAAACUUAACUUCCACACCUUCAAUUUUACUUAAUGACACCUUCAAUUUUACUUAAUGACAGUGUGUACAAGUGGAUCAGCCUCACUCACUACUUUUGGGAAACCUUAAAUUGAGGUUGGGGCACCCAAGGCUGAUGAUGAAUUUUUUUUUUUAAAUUGUGGAGGUAUCAGCUUCAGCUGUAACCUUUUUUAUACCUGACAUUCUUCAGGAAUGGUAAUAGGACCCUUUUAGAUGUCAUUAGGGCAGUUAGGUGGCACAGUAGAUAGAGUGCUGGGCCCAGAGUCAGGAAGACUCAUCUCGCUGAGUUCAAAUCUGGCCUCAGACACUGUCGCUGUGUGACAUUGGCUAAGUCACUUAACCCGGAUUGUCUCAGUUUUCUCAUCUAUAAAAUGAGCUGGAGAAGGAAAUGGCAAACCACUCCAGUAUCUUUGCCAAGAAAAUCCCAAAUGGGAUCAUGAAGAGUCAGAUAUUACUGAAAAACAACAAGAUUGGUUUAUAUCAAUCCAGGAAAAGAAUAGCAGACCACAUACAAUUUUUGCCAUUCGGCUGGUGCUUUCUUAAGAAAUGAAUUAGGGGGGGGGG